UACGGAGGAUGCGAGCGUUAUCCGGAUUUAUUGGGUUUAAAGGGUGCGUAGGCGGACUGUCAAGUCAGCGGUAAAAUACGGGGGCUCAACCUCCGCCCGCCGUUGAAACUGCCAGGCUAGAGUAUGGGAGAGGUAGGUGGAAUUCUUGGUGUAGGGGUAAAAUCCGUAGAGAUCAAGAGGAAUACUCAUUGCGAAGGCGACCUGCUAGAACAUAACUGACGCUGAUGCGCGAAAGCGUGGGGAGCAAACAGG
rnacentral:rRNA from 1 species